rnacentral:rRNA from 1 species
CCAAUAGCGUAUAUUAAAGUUGUUGCAGUUAAAAAGCUCGUAGUUGAAUUUCGGAAUCAAUGCAUCGGUCGUGCCUUCGGUACGUACUAGCGUCAUUGAUUCCUCCCUUCUGAAGAACCGUGAUGUCAUUAAUUCGGUGUUACGGGGAAUCAGGACUGUUACCUUGAAAAAAUUAGAGUGUUUAAAGCAGGCUAACGCUUGAAUACAUUAGCAUGGAAUAAUGAAAUAGGACGUUCGAACCUAUUUUGUUGGUUUCUAGGAUCGACGUAAUGAUUAAUAGGGAUAGUUGGGGGCAUUAGUAUUCAAUUGUCAGAGGUGAAAUUCUUGGAUUUAUUGAAGACUAACUACUGCGAAAGCAUUUGCCAAGGAUGUUUUCAUUAAUCAAGAACGAAAGUUAGGGGAUCGAAGACGAUCAGAUACCGUCGUAGUCUUAACCAUAAACUAUGCCGACUAGAGAUCGGAUGAUGUUAAUUUUAUAAUGACUCAUUCGGCACCUUACG